UAGGGGACUGACAGUAUCAGUUAAACAGGAUAUCAGCUCUGGCCGGCCUGCCCUCCACACCGGUGGCUGCCACUCCUGUAGAGAGGGGUGAACCUUUAGCUGCUCCACAGCUGCAGUUCACAGCCCAGGUUACUAAUGUAAACUGAUAAAAGUGGUGGUUAAAUUAAAAUGCCAGACAGUGGUGGCUGAAGAGCUGAUACACAUUUGUUACAGAAACUUCUGCUGUGGAGCAAUGUUUCAGCAAGAGAGAAAUGCACAACAGCUAAACCCAGCAAACCCCAUGUGUCCCAUCCCUGAAUCAAGUCAAGGAGCAAGACCUACCGCACUGUGUAGUGGAACACUUCCUUCAGCUUGCAGCAUAUAACUGCGAAUGUAUCCUGACUGUCAGAGGAGCCGGGCAGAUCGUGCUGAAGUCAGCCAUGGGUAUGGUUGCCUGCCCCUCCUUGAUUACUCCUGUUCCUUGCCAGCUUUUUACACAACUUCUUCCUGUUUGCCUGCCUCCUCAUGCAUGGAGACCCUCCCUAAAUACCUCUACAGCUGCUACAGCCUUCUCCUUUUAUAAGGCCUCUAACAGCAUUCUUCUGCCAAGCAUGUUGACAAGAAAUCAACUAGCAUUUAAUGGCUGAGAAGCAAAAAGGAAAUGAACAGGAAGCUGCAUAAAAUAGGAAAGUUUGGAAUGAAAUGGAAAGAGCAACCUGACAAUUUGGGGAUGGAAAAUUUACUGCAAGACACCACCCACCACUCUCAAUUUCUCCUCCUUUCCUGCUUGGGAACACAAUUCUCCAGAAGCAGAAAGUCCCUGCA
rnacentral:lncRNA from 1 species